rnacentral:tRNA from 1 species
CAAGACAUAGCUCAACAUAAAGCAUCCGGCUUACACCCGGAAGAUAUCAACCAUAUUUGAUUGUCUUGA